rnacentral:lncRNA from 1 species
UACAAGUGGCGUCCGAACACAGGGACUAUGAGGAUGUGAAUGAAGAAGAUCUGCUGGAGCAGAGGAAUUGAAAUUGACAAGGUGAAUGGGGAUCCCGGGACAAGUCUGCCGGCAGCAGAUAUAAGGAGAUGGACAAGCCGUGUGGGUGCCCUCAAGGUGUGUGCAACCAUGGAACGGGAGACUAGAGGAACCCAGGGUGGCCAACCAUGGACAGGGUCCCCCCGGUACGAGCCAUGAGCCAGCUGAGCCUGAGUGCAAAGACGGAGAGAAGGCCAACUGGAGUCACAACACAGUUCUAAUGUUAUAUUUGUAAAGAAUAUCACUACUCAACUUACAGUUUGUGUUUAUAGAUAUAGAUAUAGAUAUGGAUAUAGAUAUAGAUA